rnacentral:lncRNA from 1 species
UUUCUUUUCUUUUUGGUAUUCUUGGAUGGAGAAAAAGAGAGAGGAGGAGCAGGACAGGAGGACGGGUCGGUUGGACAUGCGCCUACACGCGCUCCACGCGCACCUUGCGUUCUCUUCUUCUUCCUCCUCCUCUGCUGCAGCCAUUGCAAAAGCCUGAACGGACCAAACCGAUUGUAACUAAUGAAGAUCAGCAUCAUGACUUGUGCAGUGACAGUCUUGGCUAAACUAUGAAUCAGUAGCUAAGCACGAUAGUCGAUAGAUGGCUCUAACUCUUGUGUCUUUUUCUGUAGUUCUGAAUCUGAAUCUGUGAGAUGGGCAAGCUGGCACACAUGAGACGGUGAGAUGGAGGGGAACAAUGAUCAGCAGACAGCAGUAGAAGCAACCAGUUCGUCAAAAGUGUGUUAAUCACACUAUGGUCUUAGUUUUAAUGGCCUAAGAUGCGUUUGGGCUUAGAGUAGGCAUGUGCCUAGUCUCAAGUGGUGAGAACAGAACAG